ACUAUCUUUAACACAGACUGAAAGUGAAACUUUUCACAGCGAAGAACAGAAUUCCUCAGAGUGCAGCGUAAGGUCGUAAAGUUUAGCUGACAGUUAGAAUAACCCUUUCAAUGCUGGCUAGAUCUCCUAGGUAGUUAAGAUCUAUUCUUAUGUCAUUUUAAAUAAAAUAACAUUUAAACCAGUUCAUUAGUCAUUUCCUGGAACCAUCCAAUAAGAGAAUCUACCAUAUUAUAUAAGCAGAUUUUUAAUUCGCCUAAUAAGAUAUCUUAUCUUAUAUUAGAGCAAAUCAAUACACCUGGAUAAAAACAGCGGUAUGCUAACACGUGAUACUAUCACAUCAAUAUAUAAUUAUUCUUAAUUCCACCUGCAGAAUGGAAUGUUUAUAACUAUAUAUAUUUUUAGUUAACUAAGAUUUCUUAAUAUGGAAAUCUGACCGUGCUUUAUCCAGUC